rnacentral:RNase_P_RNA from 3 species
CGAGCUGGCCGGACAAUCGCUGGGACCUACGGUCCUGGAGGAAAGUCCGGGCUCCAAAGGACAUGGGUGCCAGGUAACGCCUGGGGGACGUGAGUCCACGGAUAGUGCAACAGAGAAGAUACCGCCAGGAGACUGGUAAGGGUGAAAUGGUGCGGUAAGAGCGCACCGCCUGGACGGCAACGGACAGGGCAAGGUAAACCCCACCCGGAGCAAGACCAAAUAGGAACCCCAUACCGUGGUCCGCGGUGGGUUCGGGUAGGUCGCUUGAGGCAUGCGGUGACGUAUGUCCCAGAUGAAUGAUUGUCGAUGACAGAACCCGGCUUACAGGCCAGCUCGAUCC